rnacentral:snRNA from 1 species
AAAAAAAAAACUCAAAAAUACCAUGAUCACGAAGGUGGUUUUCCCAGGCUUGUCCGUUGCACUCCGGAUGUGCAGACUCCUGCAAUUUCCCCAAAUGUGGGAAACUUGACUGCAUAAUUUGUGGUAGUUGGGGGCUGCGUUCACGCUCUCCCCUG